rnacentral:sRNA from 1 species
AAAAAAAAACCAAAACUU